AAACAAAGAGAAUGCAUUGUUCCUCCUACAGCUACUGAAUUAUGGCUCUUCAGGUUUGCUCUGGCAGCUUAGGAACUGGGUGUGGAGUAGGUUCCAGCACCAUGGAUAAGCUUUGAGUUCUUUCCUUAUUGAGUUCAACCACAACCCAUAUGGGUCAGGACAACUUCACAAAACCUUCAACAUCUCGACUUUCCCAAGGAGGUGUUGCUAAUGAUGGGUUAUGGGUGUGUCCUCAUCUCAUUUGAACAACAUAUCAAAGACCUAGAAGGCCAACAGGAUCAAUCUGCUCUAUCUAAGAUUUUCUAACACGGGACCUCUUGGAUAGUAAGAACCACAACGUGGUAUCAUAUAGUGUAAAAUGAUACUCUAUUACCUGGAAAUUGGAAUUUUAAUAACACACCUGAGGGAUUGAAUACUUGCAACACUGGAUGAAC